UACGAAGGGGGCUAGCGUUGCUCGGAUUCAUUGGGCGUAAAGGGUGCGUAGGUGGCGCCAUAAGUCAGGUGUGAAAUCUCGGGGCUUAACUCCGAAACUGCAUUUGAUACUGUGGUGCUUGAGGACUGGAGAGGAGACUGGAAUUUACGGUGUAGCGGUGAAAAUGCGCAGAUAUCAGGAGGAACACCGGUGGCGAAGGC
rnacentral:rRNA from 1 species